CACGUAGGGUGCGAGCGUUGUCCGGAAUUAUUGGGCGUAAAGAGCUCGUAGGCGGUGUGUCGCGUCGGCCGUGAAAACCUGCAGCUUAACUGUGGGCUUGCGGUCGAUACGGGCAUCACUGGAGUUCGGCAGGGGAGACUGGAAUUCCUGGUGUAGCGGUGAAAUGCGCAGAUAUCAGGAGGAACACCCGUAGCGAAGGCGGCACUCUGGGCCGGAACUGACGCUGAGGAGCGAAAGCGUGGGGAGCAAACAGG
rnacentral:rRNA from 1 species